AUUGAACGCUGGCGGCAGGCCUAACACAUGCAAGUCGAACGGUAACAGGAAGCAGCUUGCUGCUUCGCUGACGAGUGGCGGACGGGUGAGUAAUGUCUGGGAAACUGCCUGAUGGAGGGGGAUAACUACUGGAAACGGUAGCUAAUACCGCAUAACGUCGCAAGACCAAAGAGGGGGACCUUAGGGCCUCUUGCCAUCGGAUGUGCCCAGAUGGGAUUAGCUAGUAGGUGGGGUUACGGCUCACCUAGGCGACGAUCCCUAGCUGGUCUGAGAGGAUGACCAGCCACACUGGAACUGAGACACGGUCCAGACUCCUACGGGAGGCAGCAGUGGGGAAUAUUGCACAAUGGGCGCAAGCCUGAUGCAGCCAUGCCGCGUGUAUGAAGAAGGCCUUCGGGUUGUAAAGUACUUUCAGCGGGGAGGAAGGGAGUAAAGUUAAUACCUUUGCUCAUUGACGUUACCCGCAGAAGAAGCACCGGCUAACUCCGUG
rnacentral:rRNA from 1 species